rnacentral:rRNA from 1 species
UAGGGAAUCUUCGGCAAUGGACGAAAGUCUGACCGAGCAACGCCGCGUGAGUGAAGAAGGUUUUCGGAUCGUAAAACUCUGUUGGUAGAGAAGAACGUUGGUGAGAGUGGAAAGCUCAUCAAGUGACGGUAACUACCCAGAAAGGGACGGCUAACUACGUGCCAGCAGCCGCGGUAAUACGUAGGUCCCGAGCGUUGUCCGGAUUUAUUGGGCGUAAAGCGAGCGCAGGUGGUUUAUUAAGUCUGGUGUAAAAGGCAGUGGCUUAACCAUUGUAUGCAUUGGAAACUGGUAGACUUGAGUGCAGGAGAGGAGAGUGGAAUUCCAUGUGUAGCGGUGAAAUGCGUAGAUAUAUGGAGGAACACCGGUGGCGAAAGCGGCUCUCUGGCCUGUAACUGACACUGAGGCUCGAAAGCGUGGGGAGCAAACAGG